UGGAGAGUUUUUCUAACAUCCUCGACACCUCGUCUCUUCUUCUGUGUCCCAAAUUCCAAUGUUUACCUCCCUCUCUCUCUCUCUCUCUCUCUCUCUCUCUCUCUCUGCCUCCUUCUUCAGUUACAUUUCAAACAAUCAUUUUCGUACGUAGCCUCCGUGAUGUGUGCAGCAUCCGCCUGUCGCCAUGACGACCAGCUGACAAGCAGCAGCUCUGACAGGGGAAAAAACAAAACAAAACAAAAAAUAAAUAAAAACAGCGCUCUGGCUUUUCCUGAUGCGACGGACGACACUGUGUCCCGACCUGCCUUCAUCAUCAUCUGUGGGAGCCAAUCGUCACCUUCAUACCUCUGUGUGUGUGUGUGUGUGUGUGUGUGUGUGUGUGUGUGAGAUUUCACCGAUAUGCCACACAGUUGUCUUGAAUGUGAAUGUCAGUGGCAGCUUGUCUGUUCUCUUCUCUUCACCUUGUCACCACACCUUACCUUCCAUCCCACCUUCUCUCUCUCUCUCUCUCUCUCUCUCUUUGUCCGUGUGUCACAUCCUCUCUCGUCCUACAUCCUUUCUGCGGUUCUGCCCUCUAUUUCACCUCUGUCUGUGAGGGCUUCCAGGGAAUAACGCUGCACAUCAUCUUUUCCUCGACAGCUUCAGUUUCACAGACGCCGACGGAUCGAUACAUGAAUUUAUUGACCAAUUAAUCCAUCGACGAGGCCCGAGACGUUGUUUAUUCACACAGUAACAGCCGCUGCUCGACGUGAAGGACGGAGAAGACGACGUAGACGGACAGAAGCCUCUUCGAGACGGCAGGGUUGUGUUGUUACUCCACCGGGUCAGAGCACAACACUCAUGAAUCAGGUGGAGUUUGAUGUAACGAGCCGCUUCAGAUUCUGAUGAUAUCUGCAUUCAAGUCGCCAGCGAGGGAGUGUCAGUGUUAUCGGGCGCUCGCAUCGAUCCGACCCUCCACCGGACCGCAGACACAGAACCAGUCGAUGUGCUCGCUCUCUCUUUUUGAAAACUGUAUCGAUGCUUCUUCUGUUGGUGAAAGUUUCGGGGGGGAUGAAAGCAGCACGGAGGCUCGUACAGUCUCGAUGCUCAAUUCAUAGAGUUUCGUCCUCUCUGGAUGGAUGAACUGUGUUUCAGCAGCGUGUCCGUGAUCAAUAAAA